ensembl:lincRNA
CUGGAGUGGGUUGUCAUGCCCUGCUCCAGGAGAUCUUCCCAACCCAGGGAUGAAACUCCCAUCUCUUAAGUCUCCUGGAUUGUCAGGUGGGUUCUUCACCACUAGUGCCACCUGGGAAGCUCUAUGGAUAAUCUGAAAAGCAUGAACUUCAGUCAUUAUUCUCACCAGCAUAUCUGGGGUACCCAUCUAUUCUUAGAAAACACAUGUAAAAAUCUUUAAAAUGAAAGAGAGAACAAUUCAUGACCAAAGAUGUAACAACAUAUUGAAUAGAAAUGAAUGUCACACUUUCCCCUAACUUCAUAAACGGCCAGAUGUGGGCCACACCCUCCUGUAUGAUUUCAUCAUUUUUACAACUCCACCCGACGAGAUAACCUACCAGCAUUUUUAUGAUCUUUCUUCCUUUCCAUGAAGAGCUGCUAUACAAAUCCCUAGAGAAAUAAGCCCAUGCUGCAAAGGUCUCUCAGAUAACUGAAAGCAGUCUCACACUCAAGAUGACAUCAACCGAAGAAAAGGAGCAUCUAGCCACUGUUUCCUCAAGGGCAUAUACUAAUACCUCAACCUUGAGCCUUUGUUUUUCCACCAAAAGUCAAGGUCAAGGCCCACUGUGGGAAGUCUUACACACUAAAGGGGUGCCCCAAAGGCUACACCCUAUAGUCAAAGUAACCCAGAACUAAACCCCUGCCCCCUCCCAUCAGCUUCCAGGACUAAAGGAAAAGAUAUCCUGGUACAGAGCAAAGCAGGGGAAGAAAAAGGACAAAAAGAGCCUGUAUCUAAACAUGCAGUCACAGAUUGGACCUUGAGAAGAUCUAGACAUCAGGUGCUAGCUGACUGAGUACGGUAGGGAACCUCCACCACAAAUCUGUGAAGGUGCUUUCUCAAAAUAGUGCCCUCAGGUACCCUGGAGAAGAAAAUGAAAAGCAUCUCCGAAGAAGGGCACAUUAGUCCUAGACUAUAAAGUUGGCUCACACAACGUCGAGAGUCAACGACAAACAAGCAAUGAAAAUUAAUGAGGCCCAUAGGAAACAAGACAACAUAAGUAAGAACUAGCACAAAUAACGAGCAGAAAGAAUCCUGGAGCGACUUCAGAUAUUUAAACUAUCAAAAUAACUGUGAGUGCUUAAUGAAAUAGAUAACAAACUUGAAAAUAACUCCAAGGAACAGGGAGUCACAAAAAGUGACACAGAUGAUUUGAAAAAGGUAUUGUGUGCUAUAAAUGAAAAAUAUAAAUAAUGAAAAUUAAAAUCCACUGGCCAUGUGUGGUAACAAAAGAGAGAAAUAGUGAAUUGGAAGAUAGUAAAUGAAAAAGCAACAGAAAAAAAAAAAAUUCCAGACUUUGACACAGAGAGACAAUAAGACGAAAAUAUAGAAAAGAGACAUUGAGGAUAUAGGUAGACCUCUAACCUGGUUCUCAUUAGAAUUUCCCAGAAGGAAAAUACAGAUAGUGAGUUUUACAUUGGCUUCCACCCCUCCACGUCAUAAAUUAAGCAACACACAAAAAAAGAUUCCCUUCUAAUCAAUGGUCACACUUAAGAAGGUAAAAAUGUGUCUUUUGGACAGGCAUAUUCAAGUAUCCAGGCAGAAGAAUCACUAAAUUGAAUAAAAAUCCCAUUUAGUUAAACCAAUAGAGCUAUUUAAACCUGGCCUAAGGUUAAAAACAGCCAUUGACAUGUAAGAAAUAACUUUAAUCAAUAAAGUCAUGUACAG